UAUUAGCUUGGGGCAAAAGUAAUUGCAGUUUUUGACAUUGAAAUUAAUGGCAAAAACUGUAAUUACUUUUGCACCAACCU
ensembl:miRNA